UACGUAGGGGGCUAGCGUUGUCCGGAAUCAUUGGGCGUAAAGAGCGCGUAGGCGGCCAGAUAAGUCCGGUGUGAAAGUCACAGGCUCAACCUGUGAAUGCCGCUGGAAACUGUCUGGCUAGAGUCCGGAAGGGGCGAGUGGAAUUCCUGGUGUAGCGGUGAAAUGCGCAGAUAUCAGGAGGAACACCAAUGGCGAAAGCAGCUCUCUGGGACGGUACUGACGCUGAGACGCGAAAGCGUGGGGGAGCGAAACAGG
rnacentral:rRNA from 1 species